CGGAGCAGGGUGGUGGGUGGACUGGACGCUCCAGGAUGAAGGGGAGGGCUACAUUAGCUCCCAUCUGACUGAGUUAGUGGCUGCUACGCCGGGAUGCUGCACCCUAUUGACCCCUACUGGAUAUCGAACUCCGGAAACAGAAGAGACGACUAAAACUUCAAGAGUCAUUACUUGCUUCGGCAGUGGCUCGAGUAACAAGAAAGAGGCGUUGUUGUGUAGCAUAUUCUUGCCUGACACGAGCCUCUUACACUGGACUGUUAACUGCACGCCAUUCUCUGCGAUAAGGAUACGUUGGGCAGUUGGGCAGACAGCACACCUUGCCAGAGAGACACCAGUCCAUGCAGUUGACAUCAAACUUGAGAUAGAGGUAGCAAGCACUCGUUUGUUUAUCACUUAUCCCUGUUACUUGAUGCAGUGAUUGGUUUGACAGAUUUGCACACUCGCGAUGGAGGAACAUCAUCCUAACUUGUCUACCAACCUGAACCCACAGUCCAGCCGUCAGUCUCCACAGAUGCCCUCAACUUUAGAGCAAGCUUAUUAGCUGCUCCUAGCAGACUGAGACCACAGUCACCAAUGUUGGCAACACUGUCAUAGAAUCAACCAGCCUCCCUCCCGUUAUCUCCACUAGAAGAGAAUGUGCCCUUGUUGGAGGAAUGGCUUUUCUUCUGCUUCUCAGGAUCCACAUUCACAAUUCACAUUCAACACAAUCACCUACUAGUGAUGGCAGGUGAGUCACCUGCUCCCAUAUACAUAGAUUGGCUUUAUGGCUUUAGUACUGGAAAGGAGAAAUGAAAAAAAAAAAAAUCUUGAGGAUUCUGGAGUUAGGCACUAUGUGACAGGCUAUAGACUGGUAUGUGGGUAUGGUGGUUGCUGCGAAAUUAGACCAACAUACGUGCACCAUUGAUUGCCAGAAGCAUGCCUGCCAUCACUGACUAAUAUUCACUAGGAUGGUUUUACAAACCAGCUGGCACUCUUCCUCACUACUACCUGAGUCAAGGAGCCAUUCUGCUACCUAUUAUGAAGACCUCAAGGGAGGAAUGUGUACUGGUGAUGAAAAUCUCCAGAAAAAAAUUCCAGCAAGUGAAAGAAAUAAUCAGUAGGCACCAAUGAGAGAGGGCUGCUACAGGAGCAGAUGGUGACUCUCACUGUGUAGCAGCUGUCAUCUGGUGCCUCCACAAAGCUUGUCUUUUUCUGUUCAAUUGCACCCCUGAUCAUCACAAAUCAAGUUCUUGGGGACAAGGAGCUGAAGAUCAUAAACCCAAAGUUGCUGUCCCUAAAGCAGAUUCCAAAUCAAAUAUCUUCUAUGAAAAUGCAACUCAGCAGCAGAAUUGCUUUCACACAAUCCUGCAUUCUGCAGGUCUAAGGCCAAUGACAGAGCUCAAGGUGAUAACUAUAACUGUUGCUGUACUUGACUGUGGUAAUUGCAUAAUUCUCUCUCUAUAAUGCAGAAGUGACGCAUGCAGCUGUUGAGGAUACAGCACUUGCCAAAGUGACACUGACCUGCCUUCAUGAGUACUACAGUAUCUGUGAAAAGUAUUGUGUACUACUACUGUCAGUAGGAAAGAAAGUGAGAGUGAGUGUCUCUGACUCUCUCUAUGGAUGUGGAGCUGCCAGGCGGAGUUUGCUGUCUUCCUUAUCAUGGUCUGGGACUUCUCAGCUGGUAUCUUGAGCCUCAGCUCCUCACACUUCUUGCUUAUGGCAUUGAGCACCUGCUGCAUUCACUUGUGUUUCUUGCCCCUGCCAGUGAUGACAAGGGCAAGGUCGUCAGCGUAGCUCAGCAGGGAGGUGUCCUAGGGGAAGGGCAGGGCAAUGAGCUGCUCCAUCAGCAGGUUGAAGAGGCUGAGGAUGCUGCCCUGGAGUGUCCCAUUCUCCAGCUCCUGGAAGCUUCCCUUCUGACACUGGAAUUUUAACCCAGGUGUGACAGUGCUGCAGAUAAUCACACAGCCAAGCCAACAGUCUUCCUUGAGAGGGUUUCAAGGAUGACGUGUGGGCUGGCCAACGUGAAUGCCUCCUCCAGGUCAAGAAAGACGACAACAAUUUAACCCAAGUGUGACAGUGCUGCAGAUAAUCACACAGCCAAGCCAACAGUCUUCCUUGAGAGGGUUUCAAGGAUGACGUGUGGGCUGGCCAACGUGAAUGCCUCCUGCAGGUCAAGAAAGACGACAACAAUGGGGCAGUGGUUGGCUCGAGUCAACAGUGUGAAGAUAUUCUGCUGUGGAUAUAGCUGAACAUGUGAGAGUGAAGGGGCCCCACGUGCCACUGCAGCUGCACAAGCACCAUCCUGUCAGCUGUUUUGGCCAUGCAGCUGAGGAGAGAGAUUGGCCUUGGCUUGGAGAUAGGUUCUAUGUCAACCUUCUUCCAUGCCAGCAACAGGCAGCACAGCAUACCCUGCUGGCCCAGCAUGAGCCAGCAUAGAGUAAGGCAUUUUGUCCAUCUCUGCUGCUGUGUCACAGCCUGUCUUCUUCCCCUGCCCCAACUCUUGAAGGGAGAAAGGCUGGUCUGCUUCAUCAUGGUGGAGCUGGAGUUGCUACUAGAGACAACGUGUACAUGGUGGAAGUUGGUCACUGGAGCUUUGCUCUGUGAAGAUAGUGAUUCACUGAGCCUCUCUGCCAGUUGUGGGAGAGUUGGUAGAGCUUAUACUCAAUUUGGCCCAACCGCAAUUUUAAACUGUGCACCAGAGAGUUCCGCAGCUGGCCGAUAUAGGUGGGAGCUCCAGGGCCAGAUCCAAGAAGCAGGUUGUUGUCUA